CUGUCUUCACUCUUUGACAGCUAGCAUGCAGGCUCGGCCUGUGCCACCCCUCAGCUGGCUGCUGUAGUUGUAGUCGGAAUCUUCUCAUCUCAGAAAGGAUUUGCAGAUCUAUUCUGGGGAAACCCCAUCAUAAAAUCUCAGCACAGUGAUAUUCAGGUGUAAGGAUAAGGCGGGAGCUGGGGCCAGCUGAGAGCAACCAGCAUCUAGGCUCAUCGCUCCUGAAGAAGGCACACGUGGAUAUAAGGAGGCGGUGUUUACAUCUUACCAUCUUACUGGACUCUUCCUGUGAGGCUCCUCACAUCCCUUUAAGAAGAGCAGCAUUUCCCUCGUGUGAAAUGUAGAGGUGAGCUCGGCUUCCUGUUUGCCGGGAGUAUCUAAAGCAGCGGUUCUUACCCUGUGGGUUGAGACCCUCAGAGGGGUCGCAUCUCAGAUGAUAUCCUGCAGUCAGAGAUCCUGCACAUCAGAGACCCUGCAUAUCAGAGAUCCUGCACAUCAGAGAUCCUGCACAUCAGAUAUCCUGCAAUCAGAGAUCCUGCACAUCAGAGAUCCUGCAAUCAGAGAUCCUGCAAUCAGAGACCCUGCACAUCAGAGAUCCUGCAAUCAGAGAUCCUGCAAUCAGAGACCCUGCACAUCAGAGAUCCUGGUUGAUGCUUACCACAAUGCCAAAGGAACUGUAUUAAAGGGUUGCAGCAUUAGGAAGGUUAAAAACCACUGGAAAAAGGCAAAUGUCUGAACAAUAACUGUUUGUCUCUGAAGGCCACAUAGUCCAGUAAAACGUGACAUUGACCCAUUUCAGAUGACUUUGACCCGACUUGUGAAAUAUUAACCUUGACAUUAUUGAGGUACAGCACAUUCUCCCACUGAGGGCCACUACCCACUCUAACGAUACUCUGAAUCAAUCCAAGUCGAAGAAAACUUGCCCAGAAAAACACACAUGCGACUUCCAGGUCCUCCUUGAAAGGAGUCAAGGGAAGAUGAAGAAUUUUGCUUCUUUCAACCAUAAAUACUAGUUUCUUUUCCCCAA
ensembl:lincRNA AI427809 expressed sequence AI427809